rnacentral:rRNA from 1 species
UAAGGAGAUAAGCGAUGAGCGCUAUGAUUAUUUUAGGAGGAGUAGGAUCUGUUCUUAUAGUCGUCUCUCUCUGAAGAUCCACUUACUACUUGUGCUGUGGAGUGACUAUGUGAAUCCUUGCUCUUUGAUCAAAUUGAACCAUCUUAGUUGAUAAGUAGCGGCGAGCGAAAACCAACAAGUCUGGAACUUUUAAUUAGACUGGAGGCAUUACCUAUAGAGAUAGUACCGUGAGGGAACCUCUUAAAUAAAUAAUUACUACGUUACCUUUUGUAUAAGGGAGAAGUUAGAUAAGUUUGACACCUUCAUUGGAAAAGAUUAACUAUAUGGUCAAAUUACCCGAAACUAAGUGAUCUAAUCUUCUCCAGCGGCUUGAGCAAACUGAUGGUUGUGGAAAAAACCUCAGAAGAGGGAAGAUUAGAGGUGAAACGCCAGUCGUACUUAGAGAUAGCUGGUUCUCUUUAAAACCCAUUUAAGUGGAACCUCCUAGCUGGAAAUACCCCUCUUUGGGGGGUUUCUAAGGGGAGAUAUAGUCUAUGGGCGAUAAGGUCUGUGGACGAGGGGCGAACAAGCCUAAAGAUGGAUAACGAUUAAUUUAACUUGGAGGAGGGUUUGGUAGGCUUGGAAACAGCCAUCCUCUAUAGAAAGCGUAAAAGUUCACCUUCUUAGUUAAUUCUAAAAAUGCAAAAUGAUCUAAAUCCUAUUAGUAAAAGAGCGUAAUCUAAAUAAACAAGGUCUCUUGAAGAUUAGUGAUAAUGCUUCUAUAAGUAGUAAGUUAGCCCGAAGGCGUACUUAACCAAAUCCGGAUCCUCAGAAAAUCGAGGGAUUAGGAUACACGUUCCCAGGAAAAGACAUCCUUAAACUCCGUCUCUCCGUAGAGGGCGAAACUUGGGAAUAACUAAGGCUAAGGAACUCGGCAAUUCCCCACAAAUGGAGGAAGGUGGGCCGACUGUUUACCAAAGACAUAGCCAGUCGCCUAAAUGACUGGUGUAGCCUGCCCACUGAAUGAUAUUAAAGGGCCGCGGUAACUCUGACCGUGCUAAGGUAGCAUAAUCACUCGCCGCCUAAUUAGCGGAUAGAAUGAAAGGCUGAACGAGCCCACCACUGUCUCAGCUUUAGAUCUAACGAAAUUAAAUUAGCUGUUAAGAUGCAGUUGAGAAUUGGAAAGACGAGAAGACCCCGUGAGCUUUACUUCGAGCUACCUCCUCACAAAAGGUAGUAAGAAGUUUGGUUGGGGCGACCUCCCAAACCCUAGAAACUUGGGAAUACAAGGGUAAUCUUAAUAAGUAGAAGCUUAACAAGUGGGGAAACCGCCCAGCUUGAUAGAAAAUCUAAGUUAUAGUGACCCACCCUCUGUAGGGGGUGAAUAUGGAUAAAAGUUACCACGGGGAUAACAGGGUAAUCCAGCCUUAGAGUUCCUAUCGAAGGAAGGGUUUGCCACCUCGAUGUUGAAUAGUAGUGUCCUGGGGGUGCAGCAGCUCCCAAAGGUUGGUCUGUUCGACCAGUAAAACUGUACUUGAUUUGAGUUCAUUCCGUCGUAAGACAGGAAGGUUUCUAUCUUCCAAAGUGGUUAAUAGUAUAGGUUUCCCAGUACGAAAGGAAAGUAAAACCGAUCUAUAAAAGAAGAGAUAUAUUUACUCUAGUAGCUACUCUUACUUACUAGUAGAGCUUCUCCCAU